rnacentral:tRNA from 1 species
GUCUCGUUAGCUCAAUGGAUGAGAGCGCCGGUCUACGAAGCCGGAGGUUGCAUGUUCGAGUCAUGCACGAGGCGCCA